rnacentral:rRNA from 1 species
GACGAACGCUGGCGGCGUGCUUAACACAUGCAAGUCGAACGGAAAGGCCCUGCUUUUGUGGGGUGCUCGAGUGGCGAACGGGUGAGUAACACGUGAGUAACCUGCCCUUGACUGUGGGAUAACUUCAGGAAACUGGGGCUGCUACCGGAUAGGAGCUCCUGCUGCAUGGUGGGGGUUGGAAAGUUUCGGCGGGUGGGGAUGGACUCGCGGCUUAUCAGCUUGUUGGUGGGGUAGUGGCUUACCAAGGCUUUGACGGGUAGCCGGCCUGAGAGGGUGACCGGCCACAUUGGGACUGAGAUACGGACCAGACUCCUACGGGAGGCAGCAGUGGGGAAUAUUGCACAGUGGGCGGAAGCCUGAUGCAGCAACGCCGCGUGCGGGAUGACGGCCUUCGGGUUGUAAACCGCUUUAGCCUGUGACGAAGCGUGAGUGACGGUAAUGGGUAAAGAAGCACCGGCUAACUACGUG